AGUGAACGCUGGCGGUAGGCCUAACACAUGCAAGUCGAACGGCAGCACAGUAAGAGCUUGCUCUUACGGGUGGCGAGUGGCGGACGGGUGAGGAAUACAUCGGAAUCUACUUUUUCGUGGGGGAUAACGUAGGGAAACUUACGCUAAUACCGCAUACGACCUACGGGUGAAAGCAGGGGAUCUUCGGACCUUGCGCGAUUGAAUGAGCCGAUGUCGGAUUAGCUAGUUGGCGGGGUAAAGGCCCACCAAGGCGACGAUCCGUAGCUGGUCUGAGAGGAUGAUCAGCCACACUGGAACUGAGACACGGUCCAGACUCCUUCGAGAGGCAGCAGUGGGGAAUAUUGGACAAUGGGCGCAAGCCUGAUCCAGCCAUACCGCGUGGGUGAAGAAGGCCUUCGGGUUGUAAAGCCCUUUUGUUGGGAAAGAAAAGCAGCAGGUUAAUACCCCGCUGUUCUGACGGUACCCAAAGAAUAAGCACCGGCUAACUUCGUG
rnacentral:rRNA from 1 species